CCCGGGGACACGUGGCGGUGUGGGGUGGGCGACGGCCUCAUCCUGGCCAUGCUGCCACGGGGAGGUGUCCCUGCAAACACAGGGUUAACAAGUUGCUGCAGAAAGGAGAGAAAAAAAAUAUCCUGAAAAACCAGCCCUGAAGCAGGAACAGGGUCUGAGGCAUUUUUCUGCCUGGUUCCCACACCUCGACGAGGCGGCCGGUUAAAAUUAGCUCCACUCAUCUCCAUUGAAGUUUCCGUGAUGCACCCGCACCACAACCACUGUGAAUCAGCCCAGCAGAAAUUAUGGGUCAAGUACAGAAAUCAAAUCGUCUCCCCCGUC